UACGUAGGGUGCAAGCGUUAAUCGGAAUUACUGGGCGUAAAGCGCGUGUAGGCGGUCCGGUAAGUCCGCUGUAAAAGUCGGGGGCUCAACCCUCGGAUGCCGGUGGAUACUGUCGGGCUUGAGUACGGAAGAGGCGAGUGGAAUUCCUGGUGUAGCGGUGAAAUGCGCAGAUAUCGGGAGGAACACCAGUGGCGAAAGCGGCAUCCUGGACCAAUUCUGACGCUGAGGAGCGAAAGCCAGGGGAGCAAAGCGGG
rnacentral:rRNA from 1 species